rnacentral:rRNA from 1 species
UACGUAGGGGGCAAGCGUUGUCCGGAAUCAUUGGGCGUAAAGCGCGUGUAGGCGGCUCGAUAAGUCUGCUGUGAAAGUCCAGGGCUCAACCCUGGGAUGCCGGUGGAUACUGUCGAGCUCGAGUCCGGAAGAGGAGUGUGGAAUUCCUGGUGUAGCGGUGAAAUGCGCAGAUAUCAGGAGGAACACCGGUGGCGAAGGCGGCAUCCUGGACCGGUAUUGACGCUGAGGCGCGAAAGCCAGGGGAGCAAACGGG